UGUCACACGUGACUUCCAAAUAAGGAAUGUGCUGAGAAAGUAACAUGGCGGCAAUGACAAAGUUAUGGUCGAAUGUCUACAGAACAGUGGUCCCUCGCCGGACGUUCACGACAGGGAGGGUCCUGCGUGAUACUCCACCCGGAAUACCUAACGAUUCAAUGCCUUUCCUAUUUGGUAAGGAGAAGACCAUGAAUAAACUUUAUUUCACAGUCGCUUACGUGAUGUAUAUGGGAACUGCUUUAAUGUGGCCCCUCAUGGCAUUCAGGGACCAGUGUAUCAGAAUAGGCUCCUCUGUAGAAGACCCCUCUGACUAGAGGAUAGAGGUUUUCUGGGGCAAAAGUUAAAAGUGUCCGCCAUUGACAGGCAGCAUGAGACCGGACUGGCUAUAUGUCUUGUAAUGUAAACUAUUUUACCUGUGAAUAAAUUGUUAUUGUCA